GAUGAACGCUAGCUACAGGCUUAACACAUGCAAGUCGAGGGGCAGCAUGUCGGUUGCUUGCAACCGACGAUGGCGACCGGCGCACGGGUGAGUAACGCGUAUCCAACCUACCCUUGUCCAUCGGAUAACCCGUCGAAAGGCGGCCUAACACGAUAUGCGGUUCACAGCAGGCAUCUAAGGUGAACGAAAUGUGAAGGAGAAGGAUGGGGAUGCGUCUGAUUAGCUUGUUGGCGGGGUAACGGCCCACCAAGGCGACGAUCAGUAGGGGUUCUGAGAGGAAGGUCCCCCCACAUUGGAACUGAGACACGGUCCAAACUCCUACGGGAGGCAGCAGUGAGGAAUAUUGGUCAAUGGGCGAGAGCCUGAACCAGCCAAGUAGCGUGAGGGAUGACUGCCCUAUGGGUUGUAAAACCUCUUUUGUUUGGGAAUAACGUGCGGGACGGGUCCUGUUUUGCAUGUACCUUAUGAAUAAGGACCGGCUAAUUCCGUG
rnacentral:rRNA from 1 species